rnacentral:lncRNA from 10 species
UGCCUACAGUAGGUGGAGGGAAAGCACACCAGUUUGAAGUGAAUUUGCACAGGUGAGCAUUUCCAGGGUUAGCAUUGAGGAUGUUUAUUUAUCAGUGAAAAGUGUGGAGUUUCUAGUUCUCAUUGGAACAUAACAUACUGAAUUUUAUUUUCUCAUUAAAAGACAGCAUGUUAAAUUGUCGAAAUUCUGAGUAAUAUAAAAACAAAGAAGAAAAUAAAAAAUAAAAAUCAAGUAUUUCAGAGAGAACUCCUGCUAAUUAGUACACAUAUUAAUAUAAAUAUGAACAUAAAUACCCACACAAAUUUAGAUGAGAUCACACUGUAUGGAUUCUAUAUGUUUCACUUAACAUUAAAAAGUAAGUUUUUAUGAAAUUAUUAUUUGAAAGCAGAAUUUUUAGUGAAUCAAAAUCUUUUAGUUAUAUGGAUGUAGCAAUCUUAAUUACUUCUCUUUCGUCAAUAACACUUUUGUUGUUGCUGUUGCUUUGUCAUGUGAGUGUCUAAACUUGUUUGACACUUAAAAUACACACCAUUUGGCUAGAAUAUUCUGGAAAAAUAAACAUAAACUGGCUAACGCCAGCAAAACGUGAAACCCGGUAUUAUUUUCCUUCCAUAGGACUUAAGGUAGCAAUCAAUCAACAAAUAUUUACUGCAUUUACUCUCUUCUUAUUGCCUAGGUAAAUCAUACAUAUUUAGAAAUAUUUAUUUACACAUAUGUUAAAAGCACAAUUCUUGCCUUAAGUCUGAGCCAGGAAAACAAUGUUUUCUUAUACUCACUCAUUUAACAUUCACAUCCACUCUGUUACUACGUCACUGUAUUAGAAAUGAAGUAGAGAACCCAGUGAUAUGGGGGACAUGGUCCUUGCUGUCAAUAUGUUUAUAAUCUACUUGAGGAAACUGACAUAUUCUGUAAAGUGUUAACAGCUACUCAUCACCUUGUAUAAUUGCAAAGGCAGCAUAGACAAUCUCAAGCAAGGGAAAGCUCACCUGGUCAUGAGAGACCAGAGAUAGACCUGGUCCCAGGCUCAGAGCACAUGUAGGACAUGAAUAGAGGAAGGACAAGAGGGAAAAUUGUAACUUAUAAAGAGAAAAACAAAUGUUCCUUCUUAUAUUUUUAAGACUUAAAACAUACCACAUUUUCCUUGAAAACCAACAGGCCAGGGACUUUUACCUUUGUGUCUAUGGUUCUAUCACUUAAAUUCCUGUGCCCCUGUCUCAGCAGGACUGAAAGGAGACUUUAGAGAAGAGCUGACAGAAGAGAUUCAUUCUAGGAUCUCUCCAUUCUCACCACACCAUGGACAAGCCUAGUUCCAUGUGCAACAUUCAGUAUUGGAUGAUCUGGAUUCAGUACAGAAAGCCUGGACUUUUGAGCCUAAACAGGAUCUGAAGCAGAAGGAUGAAAAACAGAUCAACCAACAACAAGAAUCAACCAUCUUGGUUUCUCAUUUGUCAAUAAUGGGCAAUAGUCCUGCCCACAUAUCAGGGAAUGUAUAUGCCAUAAUUAAAUACUAAUGCUUCUAUCUUCUCUAGAGAAUUUGUUCCUUUAUGUGAAAAAUAUUAUUUCUUCUUAAUAAGCAAUGUAUGACAAUUGAGGAGGCAUAAAAAUUAGAGAAAAAUAAAAAGGAAAAUGUCUGUAGUUGCACAUUAUAUCAUAAGUAAUCUGCAUUUUAUUGUUUUUGUGAUACUCUAGAAAUGGAUAUGUUUUAGUAAACCUAAUUUAACUCAUUAAUCCAUCUGGAAUUUCCUUUGUAAUAUUUUAUAAAAUGUGAAUCGAGACUGAUAAAUGUUCUAAAUAGUCAAAUUUGCUAAACCUUUUAUAAACUGUUUUCCUUUAUAUUUACUUUUAUUUUCUCUUUUAUUAUAUAUUUCAUUCCUGUAUCUAUUACCUAUAUAUGAUAUCUAUAUCUACCUAAUUGGGGCUAUUUCCACUAAUGUGCCCAUAUAUUCUUGUAACAGAAUCACAUUAUCUUAAGAAUAGUGACAUAAAUAUUAUUUCCCUGAUAGGGCUACCCAUUUCCACUAUCAUAAAAUCUAUUUAUUUUAGAAAAUUGGCUUUGUAUCAUUAGUCUAUAUUUUCUGAUGAACUUUGGAAUCCAUCUUAUGCUAUUCAACAUUGCAAAGAAUGAUUGGAAUUGCAUUAAUCCCAUUUAUUUGAGAAAAACUGAGGCAUUUGCAAUAAUAGUCAAUCUAAUUGGAAACAUACUAUAAUUCCCUAUGUAUUCAAGUCUUCUCUUUAUACUAUUUAAUAAAUUAUAGUUUAUUUUUAUAUAGGUUCAACAUAACACUGGUUAAGACUUUUUUCAAGGCAGUAUAUCCUUUGGUCUCUAUUGUACAUUUCUUUAUUUUUUUUCUAAAUAUAUACCAUUGACCUAUACAAUUUUUUGGACUGACAUUAUAUUUGAGUGAGUUAUUCAAAAUAUUUAUAAAUCAUGGUAGUUAAUGGUUGAAUCUUUUAAGUUAUUCUUAAAAAAGCAUAUCAUCUGCAAACAACUUCCAUCAUUGUCCUCCUAAUUUGUUGUAUUUUUAUUUAUC